GUACGAAGGGGAGGCUAGCGUUGUUCGGAAUUACUGGGCGUAAAGCGCGCGCAGGCGGUCUUCCAAGUCAGUGGUGAAAUCCCAGAGCUCAACUCUGGAACUGCCUUUGAUACUGGGUGUCUUGAGUAUGGAAGAGGUGAGUGGAAUUCCGAGUGUAGAGGUGAAAUUCGUAGAUAUCGAGAGGAACACCGGUGGCGAAGGCGGCGAUCUGGACGAUGACUGACGCUGAGACGCGAAAGCGUGGGGGAGCAAACA
rnacentral:rRNA from 1 species